AAUGCCCCCUUUAUAUAUAAUCCCUAAAGAAAUUUUAUUUUUUGAAAUUCAUUCAAACGCCGCACCCUCCACGUCCACAAAUGUUGCUCCGGAUGGAACUAUGAAUAUGGCUGGCGUGCUGUUGGUUUUCUAAACCAGCUUCACGUUCUGGGACUUAUAGACAGCCAGCCACAAUGAUAAUUGCCUGGUACAUUGAAUACAACAACCACAGCAUCACGGUGGUUCAGCCGCCACAAUGAGCAAUGUCUUGAAAUUUUUGGGCGUUGAAUAGUUUGCACUGCAGAUAGCAUCUGAGCGGCUCAGGGGUUCUUCAAAACUGUUCACAGUACUGCAGUUUCAA